GGCUCAUAUGGUAAAGAAUCUGCUUGCAAUGCAGGAGACCUGGGUUUGAUUCCCAGGUCA
rnacentral:tRNA from 1 species